UGUUGAGUUUUCCAAUGGAAUGAAACUUUAUAAAACUUCAAAAGAACAUGAACCAAGAAAUGUUCAGUGCUAAUGAGGACUUUGGCUUGGAAACGGAGCCCAAGGACUUUCCCUUCUAAGUCUAAGAACCAAGUCAAGAUGGAAGCUUCUUCAGCACUGAUGCUGACACUCUACAAAAGCACAGUGGCUGCUGUUGAGCAGAAUACUAGUGAUUGGUGCCUAAAAAUUCUAUUAAACUAAGAGAAUUCCAGAGUAGAAGAUUCUUUCAGAAUGGAAGUAAGGUAGUGAGAAAUUGGAAAUGUGUUGUUAUGGAAACCAGAAGAUAAUCAGAAGAGCCCACUUUAGCGAAAACUGGCUCAGGAGAAAAGCAGACACUGUCCUUUUUUGGUGAACACAUCCACACCUUCAGCUUUUGCAAGUGACAGGAGAUCUGAGGCAGAAGCAGACUGGGAGAUAGUGGAGGGAACAUGGAGCAUGCUUC